rnacentral:ncRNA from 1 species
GAAAAGGUGACGAAGGGGAGUAGUAGAGGCUUCUCCCUGCUCAAGAGAACCGGGAUAAGGUGAGAGCCCGGUAGCAAAGGAGCCUCGAACUCGCCCCAGAGCUACCAGGCUGAAUCUGUUGUAUACACGGUAGGUCUGGUCGGGAGCGCCCGUUAAAGCGCCUAGAGGGCUCCGACAGGUUGGAGAAGAAGGGUGGCACCAUCCCGCCCCAGCGGGAUCCCUUUG